GACGAACGCUGGCGGCGUGCUUAACACAUGCAAGUCGAACGGUGAAGGAGAGCUUGCUCUCCGGAUCAGUGGCGAACGGGUGAGUAACACGUGGGCAACCUGCCCUAGACUUCGGGAUAACGCUUCGAAAGGAGUGCUAAUACCGGAUACGAACUCCUUGGGCAUCCUUGGAGUUGGAAAGUUUUUCGGUCUGGGAUGGGCCCGCGGCCUAUCAGCUUGUUGGUGAGGUAACGGCUCACCAAGGCGACGACGGGUAGCCGGCCUGAGAGGGCGACCGGGCACACUGGGACUGAGACACGGCCCAGACUCCUACGGGAGGCAGCAGUGGGGAAUAUUGCGCAAUGGGCGAAAGCCUGACGCAGCAACGCCGCGUGAGGGAUGACGGCCUUCGGGUUGUAAACCUCUUUCAGCACCGACGAAGCGAAAGUGACGGUAGGUGCAGAAGAAGGACCGGCCAACUACGUGCCAGCAGCCGCCGUAACAC
rnacentral:rRNA from 1 species